CUGAAGGCUGACUCUGUAGCUCAGUUGAGAGCACUCGCCUAGCAUGCCCCCAGCAUAGCAUAAAUCCAACAAACAUGCCUAUGAUCUUGGCACUUGGGAGGUAGAGGAGCAGAGAUGUUAGAGUCAUCCCUGGCUACAUAAAAAGGAAACUGAGGCAGAGAGGAAAAAUCAAUUAAGACAGUCAUCUGGGACAGAGUCAUCGCUUAGACCCUCCCCCUCACCCCCUCUUGUUUUCAUGGAGAUGGUAGACUGAGGGGUCCAUUCACCCUGGGAUAAGUCCUUGAUGAUAGCAGAGGAGUCUGUGAGGUAUUGCCAAGCCCAGACAGCACCAUGGAGAGACAAGAACAUAUGGCAGUUGUCCCAGGAUGACAGUGUGACCCAGGACACCAAGAACAUGGGACUUGCAGCUCUGAGUUUUUGGACAACAGGACUCCUGUGCACUGGCCCAGCAGAUGGACUGGUCCCUGUCAUGGAGGGCCUUCUCUGAGCUCCAUGGCACCAAUGAUGGUGUGACAUAGCAGGUAUCCCAGGAUGACCUUGAACUCCUGAUCCUUCUGCCUCCACCCCCUGAAUGCUGACAUUGUGGGCUUGUAUCACAACUGGCUUCUGGCUGGGUCCUGUUAACUUCUGAAGACUAAGUGAAGUAGAUCUUAGGAAAUGUCAUGGCUGCAAAGAUUCUGAAGCAAGAGAAGAGAGAGCAGACAGGCAGGUGGAUGGGGCAGAUGAUGGCCCAGGCUGUGACCUAUGGAAGCCCUUGAGGAGUGGAGCGAGGGAAGCUAUGGCCUUCUGUCCCCGGUACUUGGCUGAUCAGAGCACCUAGAGACUGAGAAACCUGGAGGCACGGUAAAAAGCACGCCCAAAGGCCUGUCACCUGGAUGAUUCUAGAACCUUCCACGUUGAUGAUUAGCCAUCAGGAACAGUGGUCCUGGAGCAAGCUGGGGUGUGAGUAUUGAGGCCCAACGCUCCUCUAAGACACUGCCUCACCUCCAUUCAUGCAGAAGGAGCUGGAAGAGCUGCAGACAGGGCUAACUCUGGCAAAUUGUUCAUUGCUAGCUCCUGAGAGGCUGGGCUUUCAUCUAGAGUCACCUUACCAAAUUACUCUUUAGAUAGACAUUUGCUUUCAAAAGCAAUUUAAAGAUAAGCAGGCCAUUGUCAGAAGGUGGGGACUGGACUAGAGAACAUAUCGCUAAGGGACAAUUGACUGAUCCCUGUGACUCUCAAAUGUUUGACUCCAGGGGGCUCUGCCCAUUUUAGAGGAUACUAGGAGUUCUCUAAAGAGUAGUUCCUGGGGGUUCUCCAUCUAAGGAAGAAACCACUCAGCUCAGAGACCAGUGCACCUAAAUUGGUUCUUCUCUCAGCCAACCAGUUCAAAAAUCAUCUCCUCUGCGAAGACUUCAUGAAUACAUCCCCUUCUGCUCCUUCUAAAAUCUACCCACUGCCCCUCCUGAGGAGCCCUACAGCACACUGUUCAAGCCCACUACAUACUAAUGGAAAGGAAACUGUUCGUUGAAAGCCUGGUGUUCCAGGCCUUCAGUAACUGCUGACCAGGCAUCCGUCAUGGCAGACACUCAGCUGGAUGCCACACAUACACAGCAGUGACCAAAUCCAGAGCUAGGUCCUUCAGAAAGUCACAGCCUUCUUGGGAUCAUUCACCUGGCCUUGCCCUGACUGCCUUGCUCAACAUUUAAAAGCACACUUUUUGUGAUCCAGAGACUGAACAUUUUCUGUCACAUCUACAUCAAUGAAGCUUACAAAAAAAUGCCGACUUCCGGGGUCCCGAAGAUCAUGACGCCUACUUAUGCUCAUUACAUGAUAUUCACUUGAAAUUUCUUAGCCUUUGCCCAAUUAGCUUCCGUGGACAGCCAUGUAUGAGCAUGGUGCUGCUCCCUGGCCUCUGCCCCGUGAGACUCAUCUCAUCCACGGGUUCCCAGUUCACUCCUGCCUGAGGCGUAGACCAGGCAGUGGUGUAGGUGGGCCCUGGAUUAUAGAAAGCCCUGUACAGACUUUUGAUGGGGUGGCAGGGAGGCACAGCUUCGAGUGGGUAUAGGGGCUGCGUGAUGAGAUGCUUCCCAGUUUCCAGACUGAAACUGAACCAACCAUAGACCCCCACCUUCCCAGGCAUGACUGAGACACUGGAAGGAAAAAGGUAAUUAAAACACAACAAUCAAACCAACCUUUUUAAAUAGUAACUUUUAAAAAUAUAAAAAGCUUCAUUACAAUGAUGUUUCAAUUUUUCUUUUUUCUUCAGGAAUAACUCUCUUCCACCCUAACCCUCCCUUCUGGCUAGAGCCUUAACAAGUGGUGGCCAGUGAUCAUCUGAAACCCAGAGACAGAUGGACAGACUCCAGACAGGCAUGUCGACAUGCCUCUCAGGAAGGUGCGGGGUGCCACGGUCUUUCCAUGUCCCAACAUACAUCCUGUUCGGGGCAGCCGCUCAGUUGGAGCACUGGAGAUGGGCAGGUUUUAGACACCCUCAUCUUUCUUCCCAGACUGAGUCCCACAUUAUAAAAUAAUCCAUAAAAAUGCAAUAUAAAAACUCUCUUCCAUAUGCUACAUCCAUGGAAAGCCCACCAGCAGGGCUCACACGGUCUUUAGCUUUUCUUUAAUAAAACAACAAAAGACCAAAACAAAACAAAGCAAACCUAAUACCACAAACAUUGGUACCCUAGGGGUGAUAUCUGCAGAUGACAUUCCGUCUGCCCCAGCCCCCAGCCCGCUCCCCCGCCCAUCUUCUUAGACUUACGACCCUGGGGGUCACCAUAUCCCCGGCUUCAGGGAGCAGAAAGGGCUGAGAGCAGGAAAGGGGAGACGGCAUCUUAUCAAAGGAUAUCACUUCUAAUUAUUUUUAUUCAAAUUAAAAAAAAAAGCACCCACACCAGUUGCUGUUUUUCUCUGGUAGCUCCCUGAGCUGAGUCGCUUGUCUCCCUCCCACCCCCAUAUGGAAUCCUUUCUAGGCUGGCGGAGGAGAGUCAGAGAGGGAGUUCCCUUGAACUUCCAUUCCUCAUCACAAUGAUUGAGUGUGCACCAAAGAGAAAGAUGGGGUCCAGUGGGAGAGGCGAGCGGGGGGAGGGGGGCAGAAAGAGAUGGAGGUCAGGAGGUGUGAGGGCAAGGCAAGAGAAGAUGGAGCAGAGAAACCCACAGGAAAUCCUCGCUGUUCCUGUGGAUAAUAGCCCAAGCUGGCCCAUCCCAGUACUGUCUGUCCAUCAGCUUGUCUGUCCAUCUGCCUAUCAUUCCAUCUGAAGAUGGUGCUAAAACCCGUGUGGAGAUAUACUUCAGUCCCAGUGGGCCAGGCUGGUUUGCCCAUCCCCAGGAAGCUUCUCAUUCCACUCCCCGACUCUCUAUCUCUGCCUACUUUCCCCACAGAACAUCUGUUUAAAAAAAAUCUUAAGAAAAGAAAGAAAGAAAAGCCACCACCGCGAGUGGGUUACAAAUACAGCAGGCAAAAUACACGGCGAGCACUGGUGGGAAGGGGCCUCCUCCCUCACUGGCCAGUCAGCAACCACAGUCUCUUAUUUACAUUGUU
rnacentral:sRNA from 1 species